rnacentral:rRNA from 1 species
GUAAUAGCUCACUGGUCGAGUCGGCCCGCGCGGAAGAUGUAACGGGGCUAAACCAUGCACCGAAGCUGCGGCAGCGACACAAUGUGUUGUUGGGUAGGGGAGCGUUCUGUAAGCCUGCGAAGGUGUACUGUGAGGUAUGCUGGAGGUAUCAGAAGUGCGAAUGCUGACAUAAGUAACGAUAAUGCGGGUGAAAAACCCGCACGCCGGAAGACCAAGGGUUCCUGUCCAACGUUAAUCGGGGCAGGGUGAGUCGACCCCUAAGGCGAGGCUGAAAAGCGUAGUCGAUGGGAAACGGGUUAAUAUUCCCGUACUGGUGGUAACUGCGAUGGGGGAACGGAGAAGGCUAGGUUGUCCGGGCGACGGUCGUCCCGGUUCAAGCAGGUAGGCAGAGUGAUUAGGCAAAUCCGGUCACUUAAUGCUGAGAUGUGAUGACGAACCACUAAGGUGGUGAAGCAAUUGAUGCCCCGCUUCCAGGAAAAGCCUCUAAGCUUCAGGUUACCAACAAUCGUACCCCAAACCGACACAGGUGGUCAGGUAGAGAAUACUCAGGCGCUUGAGAGAACUCGGGUGAAGGAACUAGGCAAAAUGGUGCCGUAACUUCGGGAGAAGGCACGCUGGCGGUAGGUAAAGUCCCUCGCGGACAGAGCUGAAGCCAGUCGAAGAUACCAGCUGGCUGCAACUGUUUAUUAAAAACACAGCACUGUGCAAACACGAAAGUGGACGUAUACGGUGUGACGCCUGCCCGGUGCUGGAAGGUUAAUUGAUGGGGUUAGCGCAAGCGAAGCUCCUGAUCGAAGCCCCAGUAAACGGCGGCCGUAACUAUAACGGUCCUAAGGUAGCGAAAUUCCUUGUC